rnacentral:rRNA from 18 species
UGACCUCAAAUCAGGUAGGACUACCCGCUGAACUUAAGCAUAUCAAUA